rnacentral:rRNA from 1 species
GGCCAUAGCGGCAGGGAGACUCCUGAACCCUUUCCGAACUCAGAAGAUAAGCCUGCCCACGUUCUGUACUGUACUCAGAUGCGCGAGCUCUCGGGAAAUACAGAUCGCUGCCGU